UACGUAGGUGGCAAGCGUUUGUCCGGAUUUACUGGGCGUAAAGAGCGCGCAGGCGGUCGGAUAAGUCGAAUGUGAAAGCCCCUGGCUCAACCAGGGAGGGUCAUUCGAUACUGUUCGACUCGAAGGCAGGAGAGGGAAGUGGAAUUCCGGGUGUGAGUGGUGAAAUGCGUAGAUAUCCGGAGGAACACCAGUGGCGAAGGCGACUUUCUGGCCUGUUCUUGACGCUGAGGCGCGAAAGCUAGGGGAGCAAACGGG
rnacentral:rRNA from 1 species